UCUUGACAUCCACAGAACUUGCCAGAGAUGGCUUGGUGCCUUCGGGAACUGUGAGACAGGUGCUGCAUGGCUGUCGUCAGCUCGUGUUGUGAAAUGUUGGGUUAAGUCCCGCAACGAGCGCAACCCUUAUCCUUUGUUGCCAGCGGUUAGGCCGGGAACUCAAAGGAGACUGCCAGUGAUAAACUGGAGGAAGGUGGGGAUGACGUCAAGUCAUCAUGGCCCUUACGACCAGGGCUACACACGUGCUACAAUGGCGCAUACAAAGAGAAGCGACCUCGCGAGAGCAAGCGGACCUCAUAAAGUGCGUCGUAGUCCGGAUUGGAGUCUGCAACUCGACUCCAUGAAGUCGGAAUCGCUAGUAAUCGUAGAUCAGAAUGCUACGGUGAAUACGUUCCCGGGCCUUGUACACACCGCCCGUCACACCAUGGGAGUGGGUUGCAAAAGAAGUAGGUAGCUUAACCUUCGGGAGGGCGCUUACCACUUUGUGAUUCAUGACUGGGGUGAAGUCGUAACAAGGUAACCGUAGGGGAACCUGCGGUUGGAUCACCUCCUUACCUUAAAGAA
rnacentral:rRNA from 1 species